rnacentral:rRNA from 1 species
UACGUAGGUGGCAAGCGUUGUCCGGAUUUACUGGGCGUAAAGAGCGCGCAGGCGGUCGUACAAGUCGCGUGUGAAAGCCCCCGGCUCAACUGGGGAGGGUCACGCGAUACUGUUCGACUCGAAGGCAGGAGAGGGAAGUGGAAUUCCCGGUGUAGUGGUGAAAUGCGUAGAUAUCGUAAGGAAGACCAGUGGCGAAGGCGGGUCUCUGGACAGUUCCUGACGCUGAGGCACGAAGGUCAGGGGAGCAAACGGG